rnacentral:rRNA from 1 species
CCUACGGGAGGCAGCAGUGGGGAAUAUUGCACAAUGGGGGAAACCCUGAUGCAGCGACGCCGCGUGAGUGAAGAAGUAUUUCGGUACGUAAAGCUCUAUCAGCAGGGAAGAAAAUGACGGUACCUGACUAAGAAGCCCCGGCUAACUACGUGCCAGCAGCCGCGGUAAUACGUAGGGGGCAAGCGUUAUCCGGAUUUACUGGGUGUAAAGGGAGCGUAGACGGCAGCGCAAGUCUGGAGUGAAAUCCCAUGGCUUAACCAUGGAACUGCUUUGGAAACUGUGCAGCUAGAGUGCAGGAGAGGUAAGCGGAAUUCCUAGUGUAGCGGUGAAAUGCGUAGAUAUUAGGAGGAACACCAGUGGCGAAGGCGGCUUACUGGACUAUAACUGACGUUGAGGCUCGAAAGCGUGGGGAGCAAACAGGAUUAGAGACCCCUGUAGUC